rnacentral:rRNA from 1 species
CCCUUAGAUGUUCUGGACUGCACGCGCGCUACACUGAUGCACUCAACGAGUUUACGACCUUGCCCGAUAGGGUUGGGUAAUCUUUUUAAAAUGCAUCGUGAUGGGGAUAGAUUAUUGCAAUUAUUAAUCUUCAACGAGGAAUUCCUAGUAAGCGCGAGUCAUCAGCUCGUGCUGAUUACGUCCCUGCCCUUUGUACACACCGCCCGUCGCUCCUACCGAUUGAGUGCUCAGGUGAAUAAUUCGGACUGCAGCAAUGUUUGGAUCCCGAACGUUGCAGCGGAAAGUUUAGUGAACCUUAUCACUUAGAGGAAGGAGAAGUCGUAACA